GACGAACGCUGGCGGCGUGCUUAACACAUGCAAGUCGAACGGAAAGGCCCUGCUUGUGUGGGGUUCUCGAGUGGCGAACGGGUGAGUAACACGUGAGUAACCUGCCCUUGACUUUGGGAUAACUUCAGGAAACUGGGGCUAAUACCGGAUAGGAGCUCCUGCUGCAUGGUGGGGGUUGGAAAGUUUCGGCUGUUGGGGAUGGACUCGCGGCUUAUCAGCUUGUUGGUGGGGUAGUGGCUUACCAAGGCUUUGACGGGUAGCCGGCCUGAGAGGGUGACCGGCCACAAUGGGACUGCGAUAGGGACCAGAGUCCUACGGGAGGCAGCAGUGGGGAGUAUUGCACAAUGGGCGGAAGCCUGAUGCAGCAACGCCGCGUGCGGGAUGACGGCCUUCGGGUUGUAAACCGCUUUCGCUUGUGACGAAGCGUGAGUGACGGUAAUGGGUAAAGAAGCACCGGCUAACUACGUG
rnacentral:rRNA from 1 species